AAUUCACUCAGAAGAGGAGUGUAUCUGGAUUUAGACGCAGCAGUGUGAACAUGUCCAGAGAGUUGUUACAUCUGCGAAAAUUCAGCGUUAAGAGGUCCUACAAUCGCACAGGUUUGUGACACUUGGACGUGCGGGACGGUGCCAGUUUGCCGGAGGCGUAUUCUGAGUGUGUCAGCUAUCAGAGAAAGGAUGGCAUCAGCUCAGGGUGUGUUUCUCGUCUGUGAGGAUCUCUGGACGGAUGGACCUGCGGGUUUGAUCUGCCUGGAUCAGCCACAUACUGUUUGACAUCAUGUGACACCUGCUGAACACUGACACACUGAAACAGACAGAGAUAAAUUACAGAUGCUGGUCGAUGGAGCGUGAGAGAAAGACAACAUCAAAACAACCGUGUGUGUGUGUGUGUGUGUGUGCGCGUGUUCACCUGGUGUUGCUCUUGCUUGACUGACUCUGGAAAUCGAUGGACUUCAGGAGUUACGCAGGGGAAAGAACAAAACCCACAGAGAUCAGAGAGCUGUGUUCUCCGGGACAGAGAGGGGUCUUCUGGGUACCGGCUGAACUGACAACCCCUGGAGCAGAUAUGCGGCGCUCUGCACAAAUUGAACUGACAGCAGUUUUU